CCUACGGGAGGCAGCAGUGAGGAAUAUUGGUCAAUGGACGCAAGUCUGAACCAGCCAUGCCGCGUGCAGGAAGACGGCUCUAUGAGUUGUAAACUGCUUUUGUACGAGGGUAAACUCAGAUACGUGUAUCUGUCUGAAAGUAUCGUACGAAUAAGGAUCGGCUAACUCCGUGCCAGCAGCCGCGGUAAUACGGAGGAUUCAAGCGUUAUCCGGAUUUAUUGGGUUUAAGGGGUGCGUAGGCGGUCGGAUAAGUUAGAGGUGAAAUCCCGAGGCUCAACUUCGGAAUUGCCUCUGAUACUGUUAGGCUAGAGAGUAGUUGCGGUAGGCGGAAUGUAUGGUGUAGCGGUGAAAUGCUUAGAGAUCAUAAAGAACACCGAUUGCGAAGGCAGCUUACCAAGCUACGUCUGACGUUGAGGCACGAAAGCGUGGGGAGCAAACAGGAUUAGAUACCCCGGUAGUC
rnacentral:rRNA from 1 species